CACUUUUCUCUCCUCCAUAGAAUGUUAGCUUCUUACAAGCGAGGGUUGUUUCAUCAUAUCUCCCCAGGGCCCAGCGGGGAGCUGGACACAAGUCCCAGAAGAGACUGCCAAAGAUGGCUGAGUAGGGGGAAGCAUGACAGCCCAGCUCUCUCCUAAAACUGUUCCAACAAAGACUCAAGACAAACAUAUGAAUGGGUAGAGGAACAGAUGGACUUAACUUUCAUCUGAACAGUAACAGAAUGUUUUGAUGACAACUGGUUUACAAGUAUUUGGGGUCUGGAAGUGCCUUGGAAGCAGCAACAGUGAGAACAGUUUC